GGUGGAGUGGUGUAAUGGUAUCACACUGAUGCUUCCUGUCUUCAGGGAGCUUCAGAGACGACUGUUCGAAUCGGUCUUCCAUCU